GACGAACGCUGGCGGCGUGCUUAACACAUGCAAGUCGAACGGAAAGGCCCUGCUUGCAGGGUACUCGAGUGGCGAACGGGUGAGUAACACGUGGGUGAUCUGCCCUGCACUUCGGGAUAAGCCUGGGAAACUGGGUCUAAUACCGGAUAGGAGCCAUUUUUAGUGUGAUGGUUGGAAAGUUUUUUCGGUGUAGGAUGAGCUCGCGGCCUAUCAGCUUGUUGGUGGGGUAAUGGCCUACCAAGGCGGCGACGGGUAGCCGGCCUGAGAGGGUGGACGGCCACAGUGGGACUGGGACACGGCCCAGACUCAUACGGGAGGCAGCAGUGGGGAAUAUUGCACAAUGGGCGCAAGCCUGAUGCAGCGCCGCCGCGUGGGGGAUGACGGCCUUCGGGUUGUAAUCUCCUUUCGCUAGGGACGAAGCUUUUUGUGACGGUACCUAGAUAAGAAGCACCGGCUAACUACGUG
rnacentral:rRNA from 1 species